CCCGCUGAACUUAAGCAUAUCAGUAAGCGGAGGAAAAGAAACUAACAAGGAUUCCCCUAGUAACGGCGAGCGAAGCGGGAAGAGCUCAAAUUUAAAAUCUGGUAGGCUUUGCCUAUCCGAAUUGUAGUUUAAAGAGGCGUUAUCUGGGUCUAGUCUGGUGCGCAAGUCCCUUGGAAUAGGGCGUCACAGAGGGUGAGAACCCCGUUUGGGCACUGGGCUAGGUCCUCUAUGAGGCGCUCUCUACGAGUCGGGUUGUUUGGGAAUGCAGCUCAAAAUGGGUGGUAAAUUUCAUCUAAGGCUAAAUACUGGCAAGAGACCGAUAGCGAACAAGUACCGUGAGGGAAAGAUGAAAAGCACCUUGAAAAGGGAGUUAAAUAGUGCGUGAAAUUGUUAAAAGGGAAACGAUUGAGACCAGUAUUGUUGCCGGUCGCUCAGCGUAGCAUUGGUGCAAGCCUGUGCUGCGUGUAUUCGACUGGUAACGAGUCAGCGUCAGUUUGGGAGUCCGGAGAGAGGUCAGAGGAAGAUGGGUUCGGCUUUCGGGUCGUUCUUUUAUAGACUCUGGCUGGCACGGGAUCCUGGACUGAGGUUUGCGACUGCCGUACUCUCGGUUUGAGACCUGACCCCAAGUUUUCGGACUACACGUAGACCGACGUCGUAAGGAAGGGAGGUAGGGCCGAGCAGGUAGUUCCAGGAUGCUGACGAAAUGGUCUUAAACGACCCGUCUUGAAACACGG
rnacentral:rRNA from 1 species